ACACACACAGGCAGACACUCACUGACAGACACACACACAGACACUCUCUGACAUACAUACACUCACUCACUGACAAACACACAAACACAUACACAGGCAGACACACACAUACUGACAGUCAAACACUCACACACUAACUGACAGACACACACACAGGCAGACACUUACUGACAUACAUACACUCACUGACAGUCAAACACUCA